rnacentral:rRNA from 1 species
UACAGAGGGUGCGAGCGUUAAUCGGAAUUACUGGGCGUAAAGCGUGCGUAGACGGUUAUUUAAGUCGGAUGUGAAAGCCCUGGGCUCAACCUGGGAAUUGCAUUGGAUACUGGCAGGCUAGAGUGCGGUAGAGGAUGGCGGAAUUCCCGGUGUAGCAGUGAAAUGCGUAGAGAUCGGGAGGAACAUCUGUGGCGAAGGCGGCCAUCUGGACCAGCACUGACACUGAGGCACGAAAGCGUGGGGAGCAAACAGG